rnacentral:rRNA from 1 species
UGCCAGCCGCCGCGGUAAUACGGAGGGUGCAAGCGUUAAUCGGAAUUACUGGGCGUAAAGCGUACGUAGGCGGUCAAUUAAGUCGGAUGUGAAAGCCCCGGGCUCAACCUGGGAAUUGCAUUCGAUACUGGUUGACUAGAGUGUGGCAGAGGCAAGUGGAAUUCCCGGUGUAGCGGUGAAAUGCGUAGAUAUCGGGAGGAACAUCAGUGGCGAAGGCGACUUGCUGGGUCAACACUGACGCUGAGGUACGAAAGCGUGGGGAGCAAACAGGAUUAGAUA